UUAAGCGACUAAGCGUACACGGUGGAUGCCCUGGCAGUCAGAGGCGAUGAAGGACGUGCUAAUCUGCGAUAAGCGUCGGUAAGGUGAUAUGAACCGUUAUAACCGGCGAUUUCCGAAUGGGGAAACCCAGUGUGAUUCGUCACACUAUCAUUAACUGAAUCCAUAGGUUAAUGAGGCGAACCGGGGGAACUGAAACAUCUAAGUACCCCGAGGAAAAGAAAUCAACCGAGAUUCCCCCAGUAGCGGCGAGCGAACGGGGAGCAGCCCAGAGCCUGAAUCAGUGUGUGUGUUAGUGGAAGCGUCUGGAAAGGCGUGCGAUACAGGGUGACAGCCCCGUACACAAAAAUGCACAUGCUGUGAGCUCGAUGAGUAGGGCGGGACACGUGGUAUCCUGUCUGAAUAUGGGGGGACCAUCCUCCAAGGCUAAAUACUCCUGACUGACCGAUAGUGAACCAGUACCGUGAGGGAAAGGCGAAAAGAACCCCGGCGAGGGGAGUGAAAAAGAACCUGAAACCGUGUACGUACAAGCAGUGGGAGCACGCUUAGGCGUGUGACUGCGUACCUUUUGUAUAAUGGGUCAGCGACUUAUAUUCUGUAGCAAGGUUAACCGAAUAGGGGAGCCGAAGGGAAACCGAGUCUUAACUGGGCGUUAAGUUGCAGGGUAUAGACCCGAAACCCGGUGAUCUAGCCAUGGGCAGGUUGAAGGUUGGGUAACACUAACUGGAGGACCGAACCGACUAAUGUUGAAAAAUUAGCGGAUGACUUGUGGCUGGGGGUGAAAGGCCAAUCAAACCGGGAGAUAGCUGGUUCUCCCCGAAAGCUAUUUAGGUAGCGCCUCGUGAAUUCAUCUCCGGGGGUAGAGCACUGUUUCGGCAAGGGGGUCAUCCCGACUUACCAACCCGAUGCAAACUGCGAAUACCGGAGAAUGUUAUCACGGGAGACACACGGCGGGUGCUAACGUCCGUCGUGAAGAGGGAAACAACCCAGACCGCCAGCUAAGGUCCCAAAGUCAUGGUUAAGUGGGAAACGAUGUGGGAAGGCCCAGACAGCCAGGAUGUUGGCUUAGAAGCAGCCAUCAUUUAAAGAAAGCGUAAUAGCUCACUGGUCGAGUCGGCCUGCGCGGAAGAUGUAACGGGGCUAAACCAUGCACCGAAGCUGCGGCAGCGACGCUUAUGCGUUGUUGGGUAGGGGAGCGUUCUGUAAGCCUGUGAAGGUGUACUGUGAGGUAUGCUGGAGGUAUCAGAAGUGCGAAUGCUGACAUAAGUAACGAUAAAGCGGGUGAAAAGCCCGCUCGCCGGAAGACCAAGGGUUCCUGUCCAACGUUAAUCGGGGCAGGGUGAGUCGACCCCUAAGGCGAGGCCGAAAGGCGUAGUCGAUGGGAAACAGGUUAAUAUUCCUGUACUUGGUGUUACUGCGAAGGGGGGACGGAGAAGGCUAUGUUGGCCGGGCGACGGUUGUCCCGGUUUAAGCGUGUAGGCUGGUUUUCCAGGCAAAUCCGGAAAAUCAAGGCUGAGGCGUGAUGACGAGGCACUACGGUGCUGAAGCAACAAAUGCCCUGCUUCCAGGAAAAGCCUCUAAGCAUCAGGUAACAUCAAAUCGUACCCCAAACCGACACAGGUGGUCAGGUAGAGAAUACCAAGGCGCUUGAGAGAACUCGGGUGAAGGAACUAGGCAAAAUGGUGCCGUAACUUCGGGAGAAGGCACGCUGAUAUGUAGGUGAAGCGACUUGCUCGUGGAGCUGAAAUCAGUCGAAGAUACCAGCUGGCUGCAACUGUUUAUUAAAAACACAGCACUGUGCAAACACGAAAGUGGACGUAUACGGUGUGACGCCUGCCCGGUGCCGGAAGGUUAAUUGAUGGGGUCAGCGCAAGCGAAGCUCUUGAUCGAAGCCCCGGUAAACGGCGGCCGUAACUAUAACGGUCCUAAGGUAGCGAAAUUCCUUGUCGGGUAAGUUCCGACCUGCACGAAUGGCGUAAUGAUGGCCAGGCUGUCUCCACCCGAGACUCAGUGAAAUUGAACUCGCUGUGAAGAUGCAGUGUACCCGCGGCAAGACGGAAAGACCCCGUGAACCUUUACUAUAGCUUGACACUGAACAUUGAGCCUUGAUGUGUAGGAUAGGUGGGAGGCUUGGAAGUGUGGACGCCAGUCUGCAUGGAGCCGACCUUGAAAUACCACCCUUUAAUGUUUGAUGUUCUAACGUUGACCCGUAAUCCGGGUUGCGGACAGUGUCUGGUGGGUAGUUUGACUGGGGCGGUCUCCUCCUAAAGAGUAACGGAGGAGCACGAAGGUUGGCUAAUCCUGGUCGGACAUCAGGAGGUUAGUGCAAUGGCAUAAGCCAGCUUGACUGCGAGCGUGACGGCGCGAGCAGGUGCGAAAGCAGGUCAUAGUGAUCCGGUGGUUCUGAAUGGAAGGGCCAUCGCUCAACGGAUAAAAGGUACUCCGGGGAUAACAGGCUGAUACCGCCCAAGAGUUCAUAUCGACGGCGGUGUUUGGCACCUCGAUGUCGGCUCAUCACAUCCUGGGGCUGAAGUAGGUCCCAAGGGUAUGGCUGUUCGCCAUUUAAAGUGGUACGCGAGCUGGGUUUAGAACGUCGUGAGACAGUUCGGUCCCUAUCUGCCGUGGGCGCUGGAGAACUGAGGGGGGCUGCUCCUAGUACGAGAGGACCGGAGUGGACGCAUCACUGGUGUUCGGGUUGUCAUGCCAAUGGCACUGCCCGGUAGCUAAAUGCGGAAGAGAUAAGUGCUGAAAGCAUCUAAGCACGAAACUUGCCCCGAGAUGAGUUCUCCCUGACUCCUUGAGAGUCCUGAAGGAACGUUGAAGACGACGACGUUGAUAGGCCGGGUGUGUAAGCGCAGCGAUGCGUUGAGCUAACCGGUACUAAUGAACCGUGAGGCUUAACCUU
rnacentral:rRNA from 1 species